AUUGAACGCUGGCGGCAUGCUUAACACAUGCAAGUCAGGGAGAAGGAGGUAGCAAUACUUCCGGAAACCGGCGCACGGGUGAGUAACACGUAGGUAACCUACCCUUGAGCGGGGAACAACAUCGAGAAAUCGGUGCUAAUACCGCAUAAUGCAACGAGACCGCAUGGUUUUGUUGUUAAAGAUCCGCAAGGAUCACUUGAGGAUGGACCUGCGCCCGAUUAGCAGUUGGCGGAGUAAAAGCCCACCAAGGCAACGAUCGGUAGCCGACCUGAGAGGGUGAUCGGCCACACUGGAACUGAGAUACGGUCCAGACUCCUACGGGAGGCAGCAGUGAGGAAUAUUGGUCAAUGGCCGAAAGGCUGAACCAGCAACGCCGCGUGAGGGAC
rnacentral:rRNA from 1 species